CGAACAAUGACGUGUCUGAUGACGCAACCAAGUAGCCUAGCAACCAGAGUGAGGUCACAGAAAACAGGGUCACAACACAAAACAAGAAACAUGAACUAGUACUAUGGACUGGGAGCGGAGAAACCAGCGAGGACUAAAAGAACUAAUUUAUAGUUUAAACUAACUAAAUCUAUCAAUGUACAUAACAUUAACAACGUAUUUAACUAUACUAUAUCCACUGUAAUACUCCGCGAGUUGUACAGGGACGUGAGCGGCUACAGAGUGCUCCAUUCUUUCAGCAGUCAGUUAUAGGCCUAACAUCGGCUAUUCAAGGGGG